rnacentral:piRNA from 1 species
AUGAAGGAUCUAUAGGAAGCGUUGUGUCUC